UAAACAUCUACCAUUAAAUAAUUUUGCUACUAAAAUACCAAUAGUGUUCGAGAAAAAGUCCAAAUUUAAGCAACACAUUCAAGGUAAAAAAUAAUAGCCAAUAUUACAAAGAAUGUUUAGUAAGCUCUUAACAUAAAUAUUCCAUUCAAGUGGUUUUUAUUCUAAAUAGACUCUCUUUAAGCAUUUGGUAGAAAAUUAGUGGAAAGGCAUAAAAAUAUUUGGUUAUAUAAUAUUAAAUAAGAUUAUAAAUACAUAGUCUGAAAUCUCCCAGAUACCUGUAAGAGUUGAUUCCUCAUUUGCCUAUCAUUAAAAGAGAUAAUAUACUAUGUCUUCCUCAUUUCUGUACUUCAGGCACGGUACUAUCUAAAUUGAUGGGUCAAGUGUUACAAAACACAGAAAAGACUGAAAGAUACUGCACCCAGAUUUAUGCAGACCUUCCUGAUAUGCAAAUUAAUCUCUUAUAGGUAAACCAAAUAAUCUGGAUGCUAACUUCUUCAGCACUCUACGGAUAUCAGUUAGUUUACUGGAAGAAUAAUAUGCUAAAAUGUACUUCCAGAGUAUGAAAGAAAGUCUAACUUACUGCUACAGUGUAAUUUAUGUUCCGAGAGAAUAUAGCAAAUGAAAUAAUUUUUCUUAUUAAAAUCUUUUUGAAAAUUCCACUCUCCAGUAACGAAAACAUUGUUUUAAUGCAGAUAAAUAUAAAUGUUAAGAACAUCUGGCAAAAUAGAUUUAUAUUUUUCAGUCCAGUUUUUUGUAUGUGUAUAUGAAAUCAUAGAGUAUAAGCACUUCUUCAAUUUCUCCUACAGAAGGUUCCUUAGGCCCUGAGUGAAUCACUUUAAGUGGCAAUGUUCACAGCUUAUGAGAUAACCUAUUGGAGGUGAUCCUGGACUGGUGAUCAUAUCCUUAAUUUUUGUACAAUCUGCAUUUUGUUUUGCAGAUUCUAUUUUUAACUCAUCUACAUAUCUAACUAAGCUAUUUGCAUAAUUCACAGUGCAUAUGACUGAAGCACAGACUUAGGAGAAAGAGUUGCUCUAUGGUUCUUUAGAUUUGAUAAAGUUAGGAAAAAGUUCCUUCCAAACCAUAAAGAAGUUGUGCAAUAAUUUAUUUAGAAGUUUGUUAAAUUUGUUUGGGGGGAGGGAGAAUUAUUUUGUUGAGAAAGACAUGAGAUGUCCUGAUUCGAUAUCUAAGUUCUAGCUCCAGUCUUGGGAGGGGUAGAGGUGCCUGCACACCAAGCUGCUCCAGGUAUUAAGGUUUCUCCUUGACUUUUUGAGAAAAGACAUAUUGCAGGAAUUAAACUUAUCCUUGCUAGAACAGCUAUUUAAAACCACUGUUUGACUUUUCUUUUUCUUUUCUUUCUUUUUUUUUUGACAGAAUCUCACUCUGUAACCCAGGCUGGAGUGCAGUGGUGACAAUAUCGCUCACUGCAGCCUCAACCUUCUGGGCUCAAGUGAUCCUUCCACCUCAGCCUACUGAAUAGCUGGGACCACAGGUGUGCAGCACGAUGCCUGGCUAAGUUUUUCAUUUUUUUAGAGACAAGAUCUCACCAUGUUGCUCAGGCUGGUCUCAAACCCCUGGGCUCAAGCUAACCUCCUCCCUCAGCCAAUCAAAGAACUGGGAUUAUAUGCGUGAGCCCCCACACCUGGCCUUGUUUGCUUUUCUACAUAGGACUUUAAAAAUCCAAUUUAAGGAACACAAUAUAUGAAAGUAGAGCCAGGCACAGUGACAUGUGCCUCUAGUCACUCUCAACUACUUGGGAGGCUGAGGUGGGAGGAUCCCUUGAACCCAGGAGUUUGUGUCAGGCCUGGGCAAUAUAAUGAGACAUUGUCUUUAAAAAAAAAAAAGGACGUACAAUACUGCCUAUAUCUUACUGAACUGAAAAGUACAGUUACAAUAUUCUUCCUUAUUUUGUGCUGUCACUUCCACCCAAUGAUCUUACUUGUGUCCUCUGGAAGAUCAUGUAUAAAUAUUAAUAUUCUCCUUGUUAUAAACGACAGGCUUCUUAGAGGAAACUAUUAUAUCCUGCUUCAUCCCCAUCUCUACCAUCCAAAUUAGACUCCUUAGUUGGGUACACUAGCCUCAGUUCUUUCAAGUCACAUGGCAUGGUUUCUAUAUCAUUUAUGAAUCUUGCCUAUCAUCCAAAGUAUUUUCUGUUCAGUUUGUCAACUGUAGAAAGAUUUUUAAUUCCAUUGUGUCAAAAAAUCUUUGGAUUAUUUUAAUACUUUUAAAUUUAUUGAGGCUUGUGUUAUGGCCUGACAUAUGGUUUAUCCUGGAGAAUGUUCCAUGUGCACUACAUGGGACUACAGCUCACUGCUGCUUCAAUCUCUAUGGGCUCAGGUGAUCCUUCCACCUAAGCCUCCUCAGUAUCUGGGACUACAGGAAUGCGCCAUUACAUCCAGCUAAUUUUUCUAUUUUUUUGUAGAGAUGGAGUUUUGCCACAUUGCCCAGGCUGGUCUCAAACUCCUGUGCUCAAGUGAUCCAUCCAUUCCAGCCUCCCAAAUAGCUAAAAUUACAGGCAUGAGCCACUGCACCUGUCUGUCUCUGAUUUUUUAUUGGACUGUUUAAUCCAUUUACAUUUAAUGCUAUUACUGAUAUGGUUGAAGGAAAUUUUGCUGUUCUUGGGAGUGUUCUGCAGAUGUGUAUUAGGUCUGGUUGGUUUAUAGUGUUGUUUGAGUCUUCUAUUUACAGAUGGGCCCUGACUUAUGAUGGUUUGACUUAUGAUUUUUUGACUUUACAGUGGUGCAAAAAUGAUACACAUAAAAUAUACUCCUCAAUUUAUGAUGGGUUUGUCAGGAUGCAACACCCUUGUAAAUUGAGGAGCAUAUGUCCUUGUUAAUCUUACAUCUAGUUAUUGUCUUCAUUAUUGAAAGUGGGGUAUUGAAGUUUCCAACUAUUAUUGGAUAAUUUAAUAUUUCUUCUUUCAAUUCUAUCAGCUUUUGCUUUAUGGACAUUGGGCUUUGUUGUUAGGUGCAAAGAUAUUUAUAAUUGUUAUAACUCCCCUAUAAGCUAAUCUUUUUUGAUUAUAAAGUGUUUCUCUUUGUAUGUAGUGACUUUAUUUAGUGUAAAAGUCUAUUUUAUCUGAUAUUAUUGUAGCCAACUCUAGGUCUUUUAUGGUUGCUGUUUGUGUGCAUAUCUUUUUUUAUCUUUUUAUUUUCAACCUAUCUAUAUCUUUGAACCUAAACUGGGUCAAAACACAUAGUUAACAGCAUCUGAUUGUUAUGUGGAGAGCAGAGAGUUGGAUCUUAUUUUUAUUUUAAUUCAGUCGACAGUCUCUGAUUUUUUUUUCUUUUUUUUUUUGGCAGUCUCACUCUGUUGCCCAGUCUGGAGCACAGUGGUACGGUCACAGCUCACUGCAGCUUCAAUCUCUGUGGGCUCAGGUGAUCCUUCCACCUAAGCCUCCUCAGUAUCUGGGACUACAGGAAUGCGCCAUUACAUUCAGCUAAUUUUUCUAUUUUUUGUAGAGAUGGAGUUUUGCCAUGUUGCCCAGGCUGGUCUCAAACUCCUGUGCUCAGGUGAUCCAUCCAUUCCAGCCUCCCAAAGAGCUAAAAUUACAGGCAUGAGCCACUGUGCCUGUCUGUCUCUGAUUUUUUAUUGGACUGUUUAAUCCAUUUACAUUUAAUGCUAUUACCGAUAUGGUUGGAUUUACAUCUGAUAUUUUGCUUUUUGUUUUCUGUAUCUUUCGUAUCUUUUUUGUUCACCUCUUCCUCCUUUACUGCCUUCUUUUGCCAUUCCUUCACUUAUUUUUAAACUACAUGUAUUUAGUUAUUUUAUUAGCAAUGGCUCUAGGGCUUACAAUAUAUUAGACUACAGAUUUAUUUUUCAAAAAUUUAGAUCCUAUUUGCUUACCCACAGGAUUUGAGGCGGACUUGACUUUUUCCCUUAAGUCUUAAUCGCAUUUUUGUUACCACUGUUGAUCAAGAAGGUGCCAAGCAAAAUUCUCUAAUAUUUUGCUCUCAUCUAUUCUUCUGACGUAUCUCACUGUCUCUGUAAUUCCUCAACAAUGAUUGGUCCUUCAAUCAAACCUCCAAAUUCUGUUAGUACCCUAAAGUCAUGAAUUCAUUUAAAGUGAUUAAUUACUUUCUUACUAUUUUCUUACUUAUCAUUGGUUUUGUAUUCCUUAUAUUCAUAUUCAUUAUACCCUUUAUAAAGUUACAUAAAGAUAAAUAUAUAGAGUUGUGUUUUUAAAAAUAUUUAAUAACUAAAGAUUUAAAUUUGAAAUUAUACAUUAUAAAGAAAUCAUUAAAUUUAUAAAAUGAAUUCAUUUUUAAAAGAUUUAUUGUAAGGAUCCUCUGAAGAAUAAAUUCACAGAUAUAUUUAAAUAUAAUUCAAAUAAUAAAAAUAUGCUAACUUUUCAGGAAUGUGUAUGUUGCACAUGACGAGAUACACCUUUAAAAGUAAAACUGCUGCUAUUUUGUACUCAUCUCAAAGUUAAAUAAUGCAGAGAACUGAAUGAAUUUUAGAAGGGAAAUCAUCUACUCCAAUGCCUUCAUCACAUAGGGCAGGAAACUAAGCUCAUUAAUAAAGAUUAUAUAUUCUAUUCAAAAAGGAACAAGCUCUAGAACCCAAGCUUUCUGGUUCCUAAUCGAGGGCUUCCUCACUCUACUGGGAAACUAAAGAAAGUUAUAUGAUAUAAAAACACUUAAGGGUAAAGUAUCUUUGGCAGUUUUACAUACUUCACAUAAAACAUACGACUAGGUCCUACCAAAAUAUCCUGAUGGACACUUUGGUAGCAUUGGAAACAGAUAUACUAAAGUGGAUUAUCACUUGGGCAGACACCUAAAAAACACUUUCAUAUGGAAUGUUAGGGUCUCUUAAAAGAAGAGUCUAUGAAUUCCCUGGCUCCAGGAAUAAAUUUAAAUAAACUCCCAUGUCAUUAGUUGUUGGUGAUAAAACUGCUUAUCAAAUCUCUCAAAAGUAUUCAAAGCAUUAGGCUACAAAGGAUUUCAUCAAGUUAUCUUUUGGCUUCCAAAAUCCCAGCAACCCCUCUUAGGCCCAUUUGUUUGUUUUGUGCAGGCUCUGGUGACUCAGAUUGUCUCCUGUUCCAUUCACUUAACAGCAUUCAUUCUACUCUUCAUGAGUCUUCUUUCCCCAAAAUUCUUUCCCUCUCCACCCAAAAUCUUAUAAUCACUUUUAGAGAAUUCAGUAUUCAUAUGGACAAUCUAUUCUGUUCCCUAAUCUUAACAUUCUUUGAUUUCUUUGUAUUUCAGCAGUCUAUGCCUAUGUCCAUAUUCAGCUUAGUAAACUAUUCUGCCUAUGUUUAAACUAUCUUAGUCACUUAUCUAUUUAGAAAUUUUACUACAUCUACUUUUCACCUUCAUCUAGGGUUGCCAGGUAAAGCAGGAUUCAGCAUCGUUGUCUCCCAUUCCUUUUAGUGACAGUUUAAACAUCUAAGUCCCUUCUUGAAGGUUACCUCAGUCCCAGUGCUUUAAGUGCCAAGAGAAAACUGAGGCCUAGUUGUAUAAUUCACCAACUUUAAAAACCACCAUCUACAAAUUUAUCUUCCGCAAUGCAACAGUUUCUUCCUGCUACAUUUUCAGAUCUCCUCCUGUUUAUCCUAAACCCAACAUCUCACCCUCCAUUGUUACAAAUACAUAUGUAAAAUAAAAUGCAAUAUUAAUAAUUGUGUAGAGUUUAUCUUCAAGGAAAAAAGCGAUCUCUCAUUGUAGCCUCAAGACAAUGAUACCAUUUCCUUCUAUUGAUCUUGGAGAUAGAGAGACCUCCAUGAUUUACUCCUUCAUUUUAACUUUAACCUCUCCUCUAUGGCUUCUUUCUCUAUGCCCUAAAUAUGUUCAAAUACCUUUAAAAUUUCUUCUUGAAUCACUUCAUAAUUACCAUACUAUCUCUUGAAUUUCCUUUAUUUCUACUUUUUUAAAAUUUUUUAUUUCCAUAGGUUUUUGGGGAACAGGUGGUAUUUGGUUACAUGAGUAAGUUCUUCAGUGUGAGAUUUUGGUGCACCCAUCUCUUGAGCAGUAUACAUUAAACCAAAUUCGUAGUCUUUUAUCCCUCAUUCCCUUCCGACCCUUUCCCCCUGAGUUCCCAAACUCCACUGUGUCAUUGUUAUGCCUUUGCAUCCUCAUAGCUUAGCUCCCACUUAUGAGUGAGAACAUACAAUGUUUGGUUUUCCAUUCCUGAGUUACUUCACUUAGAAUACUCUCCAAUCCUACUUUUCUUGAAAGUGUAUUGUCUACCUCACUUUCCACCUCCGACUUACUCUUCAAUCCUACUGUGAUCUGCUUCUGUCUCUACAAUUCCAUUGAUACAGCUGUGGAAAGACAAAGAACUUUUUAUGUUAUUUGAACUCUAUGUGGUAGCUGAACUGUUGUCCACUAACUUUUUAUUACAACUCUCUUGUGUUUGGCAUUUAAGAUAGUCAUAUCUGUUAGUUUUCCUCCUUACUUUUCUGAACAUUCCUUCUCAUUUAUUCCUAUUGGAUCAUAUUCCUCACAGAGGAAUAUAGUGAGAAGCUAUGUUCCCUAGCAUAAUUCCUUGUACUUUUUCUCAUUCUAUAUUGUCUCAGAUAACCAGUAGUACACAUACAAGAUGAUGGGCACCAAAAAUAAAUUAAGAGAUGAUGGUGGCUUGCAGGGAUGGAAGCUGUAAAGUUGGUGAGAGAUGGGCAGAUUCUGGAGGAUUUGCUGACAUUCUGGAUAUUGGGUACACAAGCAAGCGAAGAGUCAAA